ACCUAGCCACUAUUUGCUUCCUCAUUUCAGAAAGAUCCAAGAUAAAAAAAAAAAAAAAAGAAGUAAGAAAUGGAGAGCCUCAUCCCCUCACUCAAUAUAUCCCUCUUCCUUCACCUUCGAUCCCUUCUUCCCAGUCGUCGACCCAAGUCACCGUCACCGGUGACAUCUAUUGUCGGCGAUGUUUGCUCAUUCUACUCCAUUGAGCGGUAAUUUGCAACUCCCUUUGUCAAUUAUUUUGGAAUUGAAUAAGAAAUCAAAACCCCCCAAUUGAGCAAACCCUAACUAAUUCAUUUUCUCAUUUUUUUUCUGGUUGUGGUGGGUCGUUACCCCUCUUAUCGCCGGCAAGUGUUUUACCAUCUUCGGGCUACGGUUGUAGCGACGCCGUUGUUGUAUCGUCCUUGUUGAUUGUUGCUCGGUGCCCUGCUUCUUCAUCUCCGCCCCUUUGUUUGUCACUCAAAAGUCAAUUCAAGUACUCAUUUGUUCCAAGGUGUAAAAGGGGACAUUCUUACUCUAUUUUGAUUGUUUUAAUUAGCCCAAAUUAGUUUUAGCUUUUGAUGGAAAGGUUUAUUAAAAGAAAAAAAAUUGGGGGCUAUGUAGUAUCAUGUUAUAAGAUUAUCUCAAUAUAAAGAGAAGUUAUUAAGUUGGUUCCGUAUAUUCACUCAAAUUCUUAUUUACAAAGGGUGUACAAUAAAUAUUGUACAUCGGAGUAAAAGUUAACACAAAAUGUUUAAAAGUUAAGCUUAUAUAGGUAAAAGUUAUUUGUUUUUUAGUGAUAAAUUUUUUCAUUUCAGUAAAACUUAUUUCUUCAAAACUACUGAUAAUGUAUAAAAUUAACCAUUUAACCAUUUCUAUCAAUUUUUUUUUUACUAAUAUAAAAGUUAAUCAAAACUAGGUUAAAGUUACAAAAAUAUGGAUAAAAGUUAUCUUGGUGUACAAUAAAUUUAUUGUACACCUUGUGCGCGCAAGACCUUUUGAUAUUCACUUUUGAGAAAUAUAGUAACUGUUGGUGUCGUCAUUGCGAGGUGAAUUAUUGUAAGAUGGACCAGAUGGUUAUGGAGUUCAAGAGAACAAGGUUGUAAUCAAGCUAAGGAUUAUGGAUACAUGAAGUAAUAUAUAGUGUGAAGGGAGUGAUUAGGUUUGCUACAAGCAUUUUCGUAAAUUUUUGGAAUUGACUCACCCUUGGCGUCAAAACAAAAGAGAUUUUGAUGGAAAGAUCGAGGAAAGAAGUGAACCUGUUCCUUUGAAGGGAAUUGAUAUUGUGAAUUUGUUGCGUGAUUUUCCAAAUGAUUUUGGAAAGAAGGGAACGAGACAAAGGCGUGAUGAGGAAGAUCCAAACCCAUGGAGAAAGAUAUCCAUAUUAUUCAAGUUGCCAUAUUGGAAGCAUUGCUCUAAUCGUCAUUAUCUUGACGUAAUGCACAUAGAAAAAAAUGUUUUUGAUAAUGCCAAUGGGACAUUGUUAGACAUCCCCGGAAAGAGCAAGGAUCACAAAAAUGCUCGUCGAGAUUUGUUAGAACUUAAAGUGAUGCCCGAGCUUCAACCUAUAGUAUAUGACGAUGGCAACGAAGAAUUCCCAAGGUCUAGGUUCUGGAUGUCAGCGGAACAAAAACGCAAGUUCUGCCAGGUCAUUAAAAAUGUUAAGUUACCUCAAGGGUAUGCUUCUAAUAUUUCUCGAUGUCUGCAAGUUGGAGAAAGAAAAAUCACAGGCUACAAGAGCCAUGAUGCUCAUUUUAUGAUGAAUUAUCUGCUCCCUAUUGCUGUUAAGAAAACAUUACCAAAAGAUGUUGCAACUCCAUUGAUAAGACUUAGUGCAUUUUUUAAGGGAAUUUGGAGUAAAGAUGUAGAUCCUCGACAUCUUGACAAACUCCAAUCAGAGAUAGUCGAAACUCUUUGUCUCUUAGAAGGUGUAUGUAUGGAAUUGAGAGGUAUUUGGGAGUUAAAACAGGAUGUUCGGAAUAAGGGUCGUCCGGAAGGCUCGAUGGCAGAGGGAUUCCAAGCUAAAGAAUGUGCUGCCUUCAUUGCUAGAUAUUUGAAAAAGUCAAACAAUCCUUCACAUAUAGUUGAUAAUCAUAGCAAUUCAAAGUCAUUUUUCCCUAAGGUAGGACGCCCUAUCAAGGGAAAAGGAAGAACCUCCAAGAAAAAGAAGCAUCCUGGUUUCAUGAUUGAUCGUAUCAUAUGGGCUCAAGCGCAUCGAUAUGUCCUAUUCAAUUGUGAUUGUGAAGAAGUCGAGAGAUACAUCAAUGAGCACCAGAUUUUUGUUAGCACUCAACGGAAAAGAAAAUGGAAUAGUGCUCAGGAUCAUAGCAAGGAUUUCAUGGAAUGGUUUAGAGAUCAAGUUGAUUUGAAGCUUCGAGAAGAUUCCAUACCAUGAAACGCGAUGCAAACUCCGUGACUCAAAAUUUCGGAGUUACUCUAACUGCUUUAACACAUAGCUUUGCGAGUACCAAAGACCAAAAUCCUAUAGUGGGAGAUGUCAUCUUUAUGGUUCUAUACAGGACAAAAUAGAGAUAUCUUAUCAUGGUCAGUUCAGUGUCGUCUUGUUUAAAUGUGUGUGGUUCCACUCAGAAAAUGAUGAAGAGCUUAUUAUGGUUAAUAUGAAUAGGACCAUUUUCAAAGAUGAACCAUUUAUCUUGGCAUCUCAGGCACAUCAAGUAUUUUUUGUUGAAAAUUUAAAUAGAGAGGGUUGGCAUUAUGCUGUCCAAGUCCCUCCUAGAGAACUUUUUGAUGAUGAAAGGGAAUAAGCCCAAAGCUCAUGUUGCACAGAUUCCAGAAUAUGAGCGGCAAAGGCUUGAGAAAAUAAGAUUAAAUGCAGAAAGAAUGCAAGCUAAAGGUGUAGGAUUCUUGGCUAACAAAAUACUGGAGAAAAGUCAAGGUUUUAACUUCCCAAGUGGAAAGUUUAAUGAAAUGAUAGAAGAAAAUGAUGAUGAGUCCUCAUUUGAGUAUGAUGGUAACAAUGAAGAGGAUGAAAAUACUAGCAAUAUGGAAGCUGAAAAAGUCGUUUGUGGAAAGAAAAAGGUCACCAGACAGGUUUCAAAGCCCAUGACUCGCUCAUCAACUCAUAAAAGGAGUAUGGCUGAUUUUGUGAAGAUGAAUAAUCCAAAACAGCAACACCAAGUGGAGCAAGUGGAUGAUUCUAACAUAACUAGUUCUGUUAGGAAUGUUCAAGAAAAGUAUAAUCAGAAGCUUCAACCUUGCGACCUUCCUAAUGGUGGGAAAAGUCCACGAGUUCUCAUGUCUCAAAAGAAGCAAAAAAAGGUAUAUUGUACUCCAGGUUCAUGUCGCAAUAUCUUGAAUAUAGGAAAAAGAAUCCAGAACAAAAUGAAAAUGAAGUGGCUGUAGAGAGUAAUAUUGUUUCAAAUACUCUUAUUACCGCUCCAAUGAGAGAUGUUGAUGAUGACUUAGAACUGUAUGAAAAUGACAAUGGUGUUGGAUAUGUAUCUGAGCGUGACUUUGAGUUGGAAAUGGAAGCAUUGGGUGAAUACGAAAAUAAAGGUUCUAAAAGCAAGAAGCAUCAAGGUCCAACAAAGCUUACAAAGGUUCAUGCACGGACAAGAGAGGAGCAGCAAGCUAUUAUCUUAAACUCGCUUGGCCAGCCAGUUGGACCUAAUACACCUAAAAUUGUUGGCGAAUUUAAGUUUUUCUUGGGAACUGUGGCGAAGGAUCCCGAG